rnacentral:rRNA from 1 species
AAUAUUUGACAAUGGGGGCAACCCUGAUCCAGCCAUGCCGUGUGUGUGAAGAAGGUCUUAGGAUUGUAAAGCAUUUUAAGCAGGGAGGAAGGGCUUUAGGUUAAUACUAUUCAUUUUUGACUUUACCAAAACAAUAAGCUCCUGCCACCUCCGUGCUAGAAGCCUCGGUAAUACAGAGGGUGCAAGCGUUAAUCGGAAUUACUGGGCAUAAAGCGCGCGUAGGUGGUUCAGUAAGAUGGGUGUGAAAUCCCCGGGCUUAACCUGGGAACUGCUUUCAUAACUGCUGAGCUAGAGUACGGUAGAGGGUAGUGGAAUUUCCUGUGUAGCGGUGAAAUGCGUAGAGAUAGGAAGGAACACCAGUGGCGAAGGCGACUACCUGGACUGAUACUGACACUGAGGUGCGAGAGCGUGGGGAGCAAAC